GACGAACGCUGGCGGCGUGCUUAACACAUGCAAGUCGAACGGUAAGGCCCUUCGGGGUACACGAGUGGCGAACGGGUGAGUAACACGUGGGUGAUCUGCCCUGCACUUCGGGAUAAGCCUGGGAAACUGGGUCUAAUACCGGAUAGGACCACUGCCUGCAUGGGUGGUGGUGGAAAGCUUUUGCGGUGUGGGAUGGGCCCGCGGCCUAUCAGCUUGUUGGCGGGGUGAUGGCCUACCAAGGCGACGACGGGUAGCCGGCCUGAGAGGGUGACCGGCCACACUGGGACUGAGAUACGGCCCAGACUCCUACGGGAGGCAGCAGUGGGGAAUAUUGCACAAUGGGCGCAAGCCUGAUGCAGCGACGCCGCGUGAGGGAUGACGGCCUUCGGGUUGUAAACCUCUUUCAGCACCGACGAAGCGCAAGUGACGGUAGGCGCAGAAGAAGGACCGGCCAACUACGUGCCAGCCGCCGCCGUAA
rnacentral:rRNA from 1 species